AAACGCUUGUACAGUAGAAUGUCGAAAUAAAAAUAAAUACUUCCAAAGUCAAGACAUGUAACGUUUUUACCUUCGAGUUUGAUUAUAUGUCAAUUCGCUCUAAUAUCCAUUUGUUCCCGGUGUACACGAAUUUGCUCUGACAUAUACGUGUAUUUAUACGGAAACAGCGCCGCAUGUGCAAAAAGUUCUUACACGAAACAUUUUUGUGCGGAAAAUAAAUAUUUCGUGUACAAUUCGACUGUUACACGGAACUCGAUAAAUAUGGCUGUAUACACCAUAGUUCAUAACGUACUGAUAGUAAUAAAAUUUCGAUACAUUACAACCGUUACGCGCGGUUAUAGACCGAGACAGAAUAAAUGCGCGGACUCUGCUAAGGGUUCCGAUCGGAAAUAUU